rnacentral:misc_RNA from 1 species
UCGCAGCUUACGCUGGCAGUCCCACCAGAGUCCUCAGCAUCACCUGUUAGUAACUAGUGGCAAGGGUUGCGCUCGUUAUGGCACUUAAGCCGACACCUCACGGCACGAGCUGACGACAACCAUGCAGCACCUCGCAAACGGCUAUUGCUAGAAAAGGUGUUUCCACCUCGGUCCGAAUGCGUUCAAACCCGGGUAAGGUUCCUCGCGUAUCAUCGAAUUAAACCACAUGUUCCUCCGCUUGUGCGGGCCCCCGUCAAUUCCUUUGAGUUUCACCGUUGCCGGCGUACUCCCCAGGUGGAUCACUUAACGCUUUCGCUGUGCCGCUUACCGUGUAUCGCAAACAGCUAGUGAUCAUCGUUUACUGCGUGGACUAC